rnacentral:rRNA from 1 species
CAGCAGCCGCGGGAAUACGUAGGGUGCAAGCGUUAAUCGGAAUUACUGGGCGUAAAGCGUGCGCAGGCGGUUAUAUAAGACAGAUGUGAAAUCCACGGGCUCAACCUGGGAACUGCAUUUGUGACUGUAUAGCUAGAGUACGGCAGAGGGGGAUGGAAUUCCGCGUGUAGCAGUGAAAUGCGUAGAUAUGCGGAGGAACACCGAUGGCGAAGGAAAUCCCCUGGGCAUGUACUGACGCUCAUGCACGAAAGCGUGGGGAGCAAACAGGAUUAGAUACCCCAGUAGUCCCUGUCUCUUAUAC